UGGGUUUGUCCUGAGUCAAACCUCUUCAAGUUUGACCAAUUUUAUAAAAAAAUAUAGCAAAAGAUUUCCAACACAAAAUAAAUAUAUUAUGAAAAUAUAUUGAAUGAUGGAUUUAGUGAAACUAAUUUGGUGUCGUAGAUGUUGGUAUAUUUUUCUAUAAACUUGGUCAAACUUGAAGAGGUUUGACUCAGGACAAACCCAA
rnacentral:pre_miRNA from 1 species